AUACUCUUGACAAUGAAGGGAUCCACCUAUGGAUAUUUAUGAAUUAAUAAUAUCAUACUCGGACAAUGAAGGAUUGCCUAUAUUACGAAUCAUAAUCAUAAUACAUCAUAUUCAUUCAUAAAGGAUUGCUUAUGAUAUUAUGAAUGAUAAUAAUAAUAAUAAUAAUAUCACACUCAGACAUGAGGGAUUGCUUAUAUUAUGAAUAAUAAUCAUAAUCCAUCAUAUUCAUUCAUGAAGAAUUGCUUAUGAUAUUAUGAAAUGAUAAUAAUGAUAAUGAUAAUAAUAAUAUCAUAUUCUGACAUGAGGGAUCACCUAUAGUAUUAUGAAUAAUAUCAUAGUUUGAUAUAUAUUAUGAAUGAUAAUAAUUAUUAUAAUUUAUUACCUGCCUCUCCACAGUACAGCAAGGCUCAAACAGAAAGUUAUAACAAAACACUAUUAAAUACAUAUGACAAAUAUACAUAGGUAAAAUACAAGAGUUUGAAGAGAUUCAAACUCAUUUUUAUCCAAUAUUGAAAACUAUUGCUCCAUGUCGAGUCUAAAAAUUUGGAUUUUCAUGGAAAUUUUCAUUCUGGGGAGCCUUGCUGAGACUCGAACCCUGAACUUCAAAGAUUCCUGGGAUUAAAGACACUUGUUUCCUAUGGCAGGUCCCUUCCGCGGCUGCAGCUCCGACCGAAGCCGAAGCCCGGAUAUUUUGGCUGGGAUUGAUUAUCUGCCCCGUCAUAUGGACCCUCUUCUUCUUCAGCACUUUGUUCUCCUUGAAACUCAAAUGGCUGGUAAGGAUGGGAGUUUGCAUUUCCUAGGGAGUUUGUCCACACUGCACAACUGCAGCACUUUGAUUCCAUGUUAAAGGUUGCGGCAACCCUGGGAUUUUUUAAUUUGUUCGCUCAGUAUUUUCAGCCACUUUUCCGAGAUGUUUAUUUCAAGGAUUGGCUAGAAUUGAGACUGAAAACAAGUCCUUUCUUUGGCAGGCGCUGGUCACGGCCGGCAUUUGUCUCCAAGCGGCAAACCUCUAUGGCUACAUCCACUGCAAACUCGGAGGGUCCCAAGCCAUGCACAGAAACGUCACUGCAAGAUUCCCGGGGCAAAAGAUGUUCCAGAGGGAAAUGCCGGAGGAAUUCCAGAAAACGGUCCUGAAAGGGAUGGGGACCCGGAAUCAUUAAAAGGAGACCAAAAAAAGGGAUGAUGGGUAAGAUGCAUCUGGAUAUUAAUAAUAUAAAUAAUAAUAAUAUGAAUAAUACUAAUAUCAAUAUUUAUAACAUGUAUACUAAUAUUAAUACUACUAUUACUACUACAAAUAAGACUAACUAAAUAACAUUACCACUAAUAUUAAUAAUAUACAAAUAAUAGUUUGGACAUUUGAGCUCCUUUGAGACUUAUUGAUAUUUGUACAAAUAUAAAAUAAGAAUU
rnacentral:lncRNA from 1 species